rnacentral:rRNA from 1 species
ACAUACGACCAUAGGGUGUGGAAAACAGGGCUUCCCGUCCGCUCAGCCGUACUCAAGCCACACGCCGGUGAGUUAGUAGUUGGGUGGGUGACCACCAGCGAAUCCUCACUGUUGUAUGUUU